CCCUCCGGUCCCGCCGCUGCCGCGUCCCCGGGCCCGUCAGGGCGCUGAGCGGCGCUGCGACGUGUCCGCACGCGGGCGCAUCUCCGGCCUCUGCGCAGCGAUGGCGCAGGGAAUCCGAGGUGGAAGUUCAGUGCCCAUCCCGCUGCUGGUUUUGCUGCCAGUGUUCACUGGGGCUCGCUCCCAACGAAUAGGCUCGAGCGUGAGCGCGCGGCUAACACAGAUGGCGCUUUGGUGAGCUGCUGCCUUUACGGAACAGUGGGUGCUGCCUGCAGGCGGGCUGUCAAAGGCACAAGGCAGCACGGCAUUGCACUCACGUCUGCAGUCGCUGCAGGAGCACGUUGUCGUUCAUACCUUACAGAUACGCGCAAGCAAUAUCUGCUGCAAAAACUGUAUGCAAACGCAGCCAGCAUAUGAGCUGCAUGUUUUGGCUAAUUUAAGCUUUGAGAUUUCCAUUGCAAUUUCAUUUCAAAAGCACGGGAGAUCUGAAAGACAGAAAGGCAAGACUGAGUUUUAAAUAUGCAAAUUGGUGUUUAACUGAGCCUGUCAAAUUCAUCACGUAGCAGCAAAACCGGAGUUUUGACUUAAAAUUAUUUUUCCAAGUACUUAUUUUUUGUUAUACGGAACAUUUGUACAUCAUGCCUGGGCUUAAUAUCCUUCAAAGUAAUUUCUCACACCCCCUAUUUGUGUUAUGAGAUGUUGCUGACUAUGAGAUGUCGUUUUCCAACAUUUUCGAGAAAGAAAGCAGUACCACUGUCUGCCAGUCCUCCAAGGAUUGGUGGUUCUCACACGGGGAAGCGUCCAUGGAGCCUGACCCCAUCACAGAGAACAAUGACCCGCGGUGAUGGCAGGAGAGGCAGUUUGUGGGUGCUGGCUAACACAGGCUUGAAGUGAAGAGAAGGGAAAUGAUUUGGAAUUGUUUCCUUCCUUUUGCGCCCUGGGAAGCAGCCUGCAUUUGUUUCUGGGUGCUGGUAGCAGAAGAAGGAAGCAGCCGUCAGACAUCUGAAUGAGUUUGCUGCAGGGUUUCCUCGACUACAGCACAGGUUUUCCAUUUAUAACCAGCUGCUUACUGGGGAGAUUGCUGGCACUGCCCAAACUGCUGCAUGGGAAGCGGCUGCUCAGUGGGUUUCUGCCUCCAAGGAGGACAUGCAUGGAUUUAUCUUUGUGCUGCAAGCAAGGUCUGCUGAGCACACGCUGAAAACUGGGCCAGCUUCUGCCCGGCAGCGGGGGAUGUGACUCGACUGCUGCUCUCUCCUUGCAGAGCAGCUCCGGGCAGCAGGCAGACCCCUGCCAGGUCAGAGCUCUUGAGGAAAUGACCUUCCUUGGGACAAAAUGUGUGUUCUCGGCCCCACGCUCGGGGGUGGAAGUGUAAAGCCCUUGUUUGGGCAGGGACCCCUCCUUAUGGCUGUGUACAGAGAAGGAAAAUUCCUUGGAACGGGGCCUGGCCUUUGUCUGAUUCUGCAAAUGUGCAGAAGUUUCAGCACUGUGCUUUAACAGAAAUAUUUAUUUAAAUCUUGGUUCUUAUGUUUAUUCUUCCUAGUACUUUGCAGCAGAAAUUACUGCAUUGAAGUUCUUUGCGCUGGUAAAGGAGUAUGGAGGCUGUUUAAAAUAGUGGAGGCCUUAAAAUCCAACCGUUAAUGGAAAUUAUUCACCGUAUAAAAGCCAA